CCCCUCUCAGGAUGGCACCUGAAGAGUUUCCAGUACUCUACCGGCCUUGGCUACAGAAGGGAGAGUCAAAGCAGAGGCAUACCCAUUCCGUUCCUAGCUUGGGCCGUGGCUAGCGAGUGGAAGGCCAUCUGCUACAAGU
rnacentral:snoRNA from 2 species